GUUUUCUUUCUGCAUUCACCCACUCUGGCCUAUGCUGAGAUCUCACAAAGGUAAGGUGCUGCCAGUGUACCCUCCUGCCAGACCUGUCCAACAGGAUUGCUAAUGAGGAAGAAUUCAGAAGCUACACAUGGUCUCAAAUAAAGUUAAAGCUUUGUCUGCUUCAUCCAAGGAAGACUGAGAAAUCUUAAGAUAAUUUCCAACAGUGCAAAGACCAUGUAGAGUUUAAUUGUGUAUUCCAUUGCAUUUUUCUUUGGCCUCAUAGACAGCAAAAAAACAUAGACUAAAGGAAACAGAAGGUCAUUUGUAGAGGGACACAGAAAAAAAUUGUAUGUGCUGGCUGAACUGGUAAUUACCUCACAUCAAAAACUUUGUUAGUAUAAAUUGGAUAUCAUUUUCAUCCAUUCCACUGACAACUUUUAGGACAAAUGAAAGAAAGAAAGAAAGAGGAGAACAUAGGCAAAACACUCUCCGACAUAAAUCACAGCAGGAUCCUCUAUGAUCCACCUCCCAGAAUUCUAGAAAUAAAAGCAAAAAUAAACAAAUGGGAUCUAAUUAAAAUUAAAAGCUUCUGCACAACAAAGGAAAAUAUAAGCAAGGUGAAAAGACAGCCUUCUG
ensembl:lncRNA